ACAUAACAUAUAUCAUAACAUCACACCACAUUAAUUUGGAGUGUGCAAUGAAGAAAAUCUCACAAAUCACAAUUGAGAGGUGCGCAAAUGGACUUUGUUGGGAAACUUUGCAUUGGGGCUGUCUGUUCUUGCAUUCAGAGUCCUGUUGAGAGUGAGGGCAUGGGCCAUAUCUUUUGCACAAAAGAGAAACUUGAUAGUUUAGACAGCCCCAUGGAAGCUCUCAUGGCCAGGAAGAGGGACUUUGAGACCCAGCUUGAUAUUCCCUGCAGCUCAAGACAAAGACCAUCCUAUCAGCUUCAACUCUGGCUCGAAAAGGUUAGUGAAAAAGAUGAGGAGGUAAAGCAGUUGAAAGACAAAUUUGGCAAACAGGGAUGCACUUUGGUACUUAUUAUCUAAAUUGUUAUUCAAAGUAUAGAACAAGUAGAGAUGCAAUGGUUUUAUUGAAUGAGAUAAAUGAGUUGAAAGAAGAACAAAUACAAGUUUCAUUUGUAGAGGAACAACCUCCUAUACCAGUCCCUGCUUCAUUAAAAGUAGUGGGAAGAGGAAUUGGUUCAAAUCUUGAUGUUACUCACGGUUAUCUAGCAGAUGAAACAGUCGGAAUGGUGGGGAUAUGGGGCAUGGGUGGUGUCGGCAAGACCACACUAUUAAGAAAAAUCUACAACUCAUUGUUGGAUGAUGAAAACACAGGAUUCGAUUAUGUAAUAUUGGUUGUGGCUACAAAAGAUGUUCAGUUGGAAAAGCUUCGGGAAGAUAUAGCUAUAAAAUUGCAAUUGAUCAGUUCGUCUAGCAAAGAAGGCAUAUCCAAUUUCUUGAAAACUAAAAAUUUUGUAUUGCUCUUGGAUGAUAUAUUGGCUGUAGUAGAUCUUGUGGAACUUGGGAUUCCUCAUCCUCAUAGUAACGACAACUCCACCAAACAAUGCAAGCGGAAAGUGAUUUUCACUACUCGAUCUGAAGAAUUGUGCACUAAGAUGAGGGCUGAUGAGAAGUUUAAAGUGGAAUGCUUAGAGACACAAGAAGCAUGUGAUCUUUUCAAAGAGAAUGUUAACUUAGAUGUUAUUGUAUCGGAUGUGAGGAUGAAGGAAAUAGCAAGACAAGUGAUGAUUCAUGAAUGAAUGCGGUGGUUUGCCGCUCACUCUUAUACUGAUCGGUAAAGCCAUGUCGAACAAAAAGAAUUUUGAAGAGUGGGACUAUGUACUCAGGUCUUUGAGGAAGUCCAAAACUAGUAUAAUUCAAGAUGUGGAUAAAUCAUUGUAUCCCACUCUAGAAAUAAGUUAUGACAAUCUCCCUAAUAAACUUUGUAAAGAUUGUUUUCUAUAUAUUUCUUUAUGGCCAAGAGGUGUCGGUAUCUCCAAUGAAGAAAUUAUAGACUUCUGGAUAGGACUUGGACUAAUCCAUGAAUUUGAUAAUCUGAGGGAAGCUUAUGGUCAUGGGCAGUAUAUCCUUCGUUUACUAGAGGCAGCGUGUUUGUUGGAGCCUUAUGAGAAAGCAUAUAUGGAUUUCAAAAAAGAUCUGAGGUUACAUGAUGCGAUUCGUGAUAUGGCUCUGUGGAUAGUGGCAAAGUCUGAAGCUAGAAACAUAUGGAUAGCAAAUGCAAAUAUGGGGUUGAACAGAAUAUCAAAUGUGGCAGCUAAGAAAUGGCGGUUUGCAGUAGGGGUAUCUCUGAUGAACAAUAAUAUAGAAACUUUACCGAAAUUGACUCAACAAUGUUCUCACCUCCUGAGCUUAAUGAUGCAACAUAAUUUGAAUUUGAAGAAUAUUCCUGAUGGAUUUUUCUUGUGCAUGUCAAAUCUUAGAUAAUUGAAUCUAUCCGAGACUAAACUUAGAAGACUUCCAAGAGACAUAAAAUGUUUGGUUAAUCUGCAGUACCUCAACAUUUCAAAGACGGAAAUCUCAGUUCUACCAUCUGAGAUGAUAAACUUGCAAAAUCUGCAAUUUUUGAUCUGUCAGCAUUUGUGGUGGGAUCACAUAACACCUGAUGGAUUGGUCUCAAAAUUGCUGAACCUGCAGGUUCUUGACAUAUAUCCAAAUGCCGAGAUAAAACUAAAGGAGCUGAAUACAUUGAAAGAGAACAUCAAAGCAUUAGGACUGUGUGUAACGUCAUUAAAUGUUCUGCAACAACUUUCAGAAUUACCAACAUGGCACAUAUGUUUAGAAAGAUUGUAUGACUUGGUAUCACUUUCAUAUGAUGUUUUAAGUUGCAAAAGCAAUGGAUUUUUGCAAGAGCUAAUAAUCUGUUCAUGUUCACAGCUCGAGGAGAUAGUCAUGAAUGGAAGUGGCACUGAUCUCCGGCAUCUUGACUUGGGUCAUCUUCAGAAUUUAAAGAACAUUGUUUGGAAGGAUGUGGUGCCUCAACGGUUUUUUUGUAAUCUGCAACUUCUGACUAUAAAUGAAUGCCGUAAGUUAUCCAGUCUUUCUUGGGUUAUGCAUCUCCCUUCUCUUACUGAGUUAUCGGUGCAAGUGUGUGAAGGAAUCGAAGAGUUAUUUACAGAGGAGGAUGGAGAAAUUCAAUAAAUAUCCGAAGCCCCUUCCUUUCCCAGCCUGAGAAGUUUGACACUCGAACAUUUACCGAAUUUAGUGAGCAUGAGCAAUCAAGCAUUGGAUUUUCCUCUUCUUUGCUCAUUUCCAAUUUUUAAUUGUCCGAAUUUAAAGAGGCUCGCAUUCAAACCAGACAUUGUCAACAAAGAAUUUGUACAAAUUCAUUGUGUUAAAGAGUGGUGGGAGAGAUUGGAGUGGGAAGAUGACACCAUCCAGUCUUUCCUUUCAAGAUUCAUCAAUUUUAUUGAGAUCAGUCAUUAUCUCUCAACUGUCCCAUUUUGAUUGAAGGUGUUGGAACUAUAUCCAGUUUAAAGAAGGAUGAAGAUGGUUGACCAGUAUUUGAAUCCAUUGAAGAAAAUUAAAAGCCUAAAAAAUUUCAGAUAUUUGUUAGAGAUCACCAAGUAUCAUACAGAUGCAACUUACAUAUGCAUGUUUCGUUCUUGAUGAAGACUUGGUCUAGUAUAUAAUUCAAAUGAAUCAAAUCUCUUUGAAUUAUUUGUUCUUGUUUUCGUGUAGGAAUACGAAUUGUUGUGUGAACUCUGUAAAUACAUAUUCAUCAAGCG